AACGAACACUGGCGGCAGGCUUAACACAUGCAAGUCGAGCGCCUCGCAAGAGGAGCGGCCGACGGGUGAGUAACGCGUGGGAACGUACCCUUAUCUUCGGAAUAGCUCUGGGAAACUGGAAGUAAUACCGAAUGUGCCCUUAGGGGGAAAGAUUUAUCGGAUAAGGAUCGGCCCGCGUUGGAUUAGCUAGUUGGUGGGGUAAAGGCCUACCAAGGCGACGAUCCAUAGCUGGUCUGAGAGGAUGAUCAGCCACAUUGGGACUGAGACACGGCCCAAACUCCUACGGGAGGCAGCAGUGGGGAAUAUUGGACAAUGGGCGCAAGCCUGAUCCAGCCAUGCCGCGUGAGUGAUGAAGGCCUUAGGGUUGUAAAGCUCUUUCACCGGAGAAGAUAAUGACGGUAUCCGGAGAAGAAGCCCCGGCUAACUUCGUG
rnacentral:rRNA from 1 species